rfam:Salmo salar isolate Sally breed double haploid chromosome ssa03, whole genome shotgun sequence.
UUGUUCCAGUUCUCUUAAGUCGCUCUGGAUAAGAGCGUCUGCUAAAUGACUUAAA